AUUGAACGCUGGAGGCAGGCCUAACACAUGCAAGUCGAGCGAGCGGCGGACGGGUGAGUAAUGUCUGGGAAACUGCCUGAUGGAGGGGGAUAACUACUGGAAACGGUAGCUAAUCCCGCAUACCAUCAGAUGUGCCCAGAUGGGAGUAGAUAGUAGGUGGGGUAACGGCUCACCUAGGCGACGAUCCCUAGCUGGUCUGAGAGGAUGAACAGACACACUGGAACUGAGACACGGCCCAGAAUCCUACGUGAGGCAGCAGUGGGGAAUAUUGCACAAUGGGCGAAAGCCUGAUGCAGCCAUGCCGCGUGUGUGAAGAAGGCCUUCGGGUUGUAAAGCACUUUCAGCGGGGAGGCGUUACCCGCAGAAGAAGCACCGGCUAACUCCGUGCCAGCAGCCGCGGUAAUUC
rnacentral:rRNA from 1 species